ensembl:lncRNA
GGGGGUACAGGUACAGAGUCAAUGUGGAGGCUAUAUACAGGGGGUACUGGUACAGAGACAAUGUGGAGGCUAUAUACAGGGGGUACUGGUACAGAGUCAAUGUGGAGGCUAUAUACAGGGGGUACUGGUACAGAGACAAUGUGGAGGCUAUAUACAAGGGGUACCGGUACAGAGUCAAUGUGGAGGCUAUAUACAGGGGGUACAGGUACAGAGUCAAUGUGGAGACUAUAUACAGGGGGUACAGGUACAGAGACAAUGUGGAGGCUAUAUACAGGGGGUACAGAGACAAUGUGGAGGCUAUAUACAGGGGGUACAGGUACAGAGACAAUGUGGAGGCUAUAUACAGGGGGUACAGGUACAGAGACAAUGUGGAGGCUAUAUACA